rfam:Phycicoccus sp. Root563 contig_1, whole genome shotgun sequence.
GGGGGUGAUCGGUUUCGACAUUGGUCGGCAUAUCAGGGGAAGCGGGUCGAGGAUGCCUGGUUAUCUCGUAAACGCUCCCGGCAAACCAAUAGGUGCCAAUUCCAAGCGCACCGACUUCGCCCUCGCCGCCUGAGCGAGCCACGAAGUCCGUCAGCCUGAGCUAGUUCUCGACUCAGUGUCUGGCGUCAACUAGAGAACUUGCUGCGCAGUCAUGUCGGGGGACUGCGCGGGACUCUUACUCGACUGGGCCUGUCAGCGGACGUGUGCGCGCGAGCGCUGGGGCCGAGAAAAUCCACAGCGCACUGCACCCGGAGAAGCCCUGGUUUCCCGUCAAUGGACGCGGGUUCAAUUCCCGCCACCUCCACCA